GGGGUGUGUCAUGGCAAAAUUUAAAUCAACUCUCAUCAGCAUAAGAGACAGACUCAGUCUCAGGUAUAAUUAAAAAGAAAGCUUUUAUUCUUUGCAAAGAAGGUCAGACAGUCAUACAGCAACACUGAGUUCCUGCAGAGUGAAACCGACCCAGGAAGAGGGCAGUCCUCCACCUUAUAUCCCUUUGCUCUUCCAAGGUUACACAGUCUGAACAGCUGUAACUUUCCAUGGAUAACAUAAAACACACUCUCUAUGGGCUGUUUCUCACACAUUUAGGACUUAGGUGACCCCCUCAGGUCAUUCUCAGACAUCUGUUUUCCCCCCAGGUGUCGUCCCUCUGAACCCACACAGCAAUUCUAAGAAAACACAGGCAUAUAUAGGCAUACAGAAGCAGUGUUAAAUGAAUUUUU